GAGAACUGUUGAGCUUGGCGAGCUUCUCAGCUAGUACCUGAGCGUUAAACGAACUACCCAUUGUUCCCACCACCUCAAAGACAGCUCCUUUACGAGUCUAAAGAAGAUUAAAACAACAACGAAGAAACAAGUUAGAAACCCUAAAUUUAUUUACUUUUUUAAGCAUAAUCGAAACAAUAAAUAUCAUUAGAAAACACACAUUAACAUUGUCUGAACAACAGAGAAUCCAUAAGGAGGAGCAGACACAGAGAUAGAAAGUGUGUUCAGACAUUAAAACUGGUCUAAAACCCUAAUGUCCGAGAGAUGAAAUUAAGAGGAAUUACAGAGAGGAGGAGCAGGAAGAGACUAUCGUUGCGA
rnacentral:lncRNA from 1 species